GAUGAACGCUGGCGGCGUGCCUAAUACAUGCAAGUCGAGCGAACGGACGAGAAGUUUGCUUCUCUGAUGUUAGCGGCGGACGGGUGAGUAACACGUGGAUAACCUACCUAUAAGACUGGGAUAACUUCGGGAAACCGGAGCUAAUACCGGAUAAUAUUUUGAACCGCAUGGUUCACAAGUGAAAGACGGUCUUGCUGUCACUUAUAGAUGGAUCCGCGCUGCAUUAGCUAGUUGGUAAGGUAACGGCUUACCAAGGCAACGAUGCAUAGCCGACCUGAGAGGGUGAUCGGCCACACUGGAACUGAGACACGGUCCAGACUCCUACGGGAGGCAGCAGUAGGGAAUCUUCCGCAAUGGGCGAAAGCCUGACGGAGCAACGCCGCGUGAGUGAUGAAGGUCUUCGGAUCGUAAAACUCUGUUAUUAGGGAAGAACAUAUGUGUAAGUAACUGUGCACAUCUUGACGGUACCUAAUCAGAAAGCCACGGCUAACUACGUG
rnacentral:rRNA from 1 species